CUGUAUCGAGAGUUCGAAUCUCUCACUCUCCGCCAUUUUACUUAUCAUUCCUUUUCCAGGUCGGACCGCAGCGCUUUGGUCUCGCGCAAUGGGGCCCCAUGAAUCCCGUCAGGUCCGGAAGGAAGCAGCGGUAAGUGGUCAGUCACAUGUGCCGCGAGGGUGCCUGAGGGCUGUGGCCCGACGUUGAAAAGGAUCAUCAUAUAUGCAG
rnacentral:misc_RNA from 1 species